CAAGAAGAUGAUGAAGACGAAAACGAAGAAGACGAAGAGGAAGAAGGGCUAGUGACACUUGAAACACUUGAUUGAGAGGGACUACGCUUAAAUUCGUGGAUCAAGACCUGGGUAAGCCAGUGUUGUAUGGCAUGUCUUGUGCGCCUGUGUCGAGGGAUCUCAUCAGUGAAGACAAGAGUCUUGGCCCUUUCAAUCAUCCCGACGUGAACACAAACCCAACUCUCUCCGUCUGGUGUCGUCUCAACGUCACGGUCCCAUCUUGACAAAGGACGCGAUACUCUCCCCGGACCGCCCUUUAAACGAAGAACCAGCAGGGGCUCAAUCCAUCCGGGGACACACUCGCAGUGGCAGUCCAGGAAUGUCAG